rnacentral:rRNA from 1 species
UACGGGGGGGGGCAAGCGUUGUUCGGAAUUACUGGGCGUAAAGGUCUCGUAGGCGGCCAACUAAGUCGGACGUGAAAUCCCUCAGCUUAACUGGGGAACUGCGUCUGAUACUGGAUGGCUUGGAUUCGGGAGAGGGAUGCGGAAUUCCAGGUGUAGCGGUGAAAUGCGUAGAUAUCUGGAAGAACAUCGGUGGCGAAGGCGGCCUGCUUGGCAGUAGCUGACUCUGAGGCGCGACAGCGUGGGGAGCAAACAGG